UACGUAGGGUGCAAGCGUUUGUCCGGAAUUAUUGGGCGUAAAGAGCUCGUAGGCGGUUUGUCGCGUCUGCUGUGAAAACCUAAGGCUCAACCUUGGGCUUGCAGUGGGUACGGGCAGACUAGAGUGCGGUAGGGGUGACUGGAAUUCCUGGUGUAGCGGUGAAAUGCGCAGAUAUCAGGAGGAACACCGAUGGCGAAGGCAGGUCUCUGGGCAUUAACUGACGCUGAGGAGCGAAAAGCAUGGGGAGCGAACAGG
rnacentral:rRNA from 1 species